AAGGGGAGAAGGUGAGGGAAUCAACAAAACUCGGGAGCUUCCAAAUAAAAGAGCUCUAUUGGAAGCAAAAAGCGUGUUGAGAAAAAUGAAAGGAGAUAAGGAUGAUUUGCUGCUAUUUUGGUAGAGAUUAAGGGUUGGUUGCAGAUUUUUGAAAAGCUUUGUGGAACAAUUCAAACUCUGAAAGCACCGAAAGAUUUUGAAGACCAUCAAGACAAAGUGCCAUCAAAUAAUCCUCUGCUUCAGAUUCUCUGUUUUCCUAUCAUCAAAAUGCUGUCAUCUUCUGUUUUCUUCAUCUUUGGGAGUUGAUUCAUGAGAAGCUCACGCAUAAUGAGAUGUGCGGCAUGGAGCCUGAUAUAUGAAUCAUGUACACUUGUCACAUAGGUGUUGUUGAGUUUACUCUAAUAUUGUGUAAUUCGGUGAAUCAUGUCAAAAUAGUUGAUCAGAUUGCUGUGUUUUGAAGAAAGAGUUAUAUGAGAAGCAAGGAAGGCAGAAUCAGGGAGCAAAGCAUUAU